AUUUUGUUAGUUUAAAAAAAACGUUGAUUUGUGGUGUCAAAGAUGUUUAUACACGAAAUU
rnacentral:tRNA from 1 species